rnacentral:rRNA from 1 species
UAGGGAAUCUUCGGCAAUGGACGAAAGUCUGACCGAGCAACGCCGCGUGAGUGAAGAAGGUUUUCGGAUCGUGAAACUCUGUUGUUAGAGAAGAACAAGGACGUUAGUAACUGAACGUCCCCUGACGGUAUCUAACCAGAAAGCCACGGCUAACUACGUGCCAGCAGCCGCGGUAAUACGUAGGUGGCAAGCGUUGUCCGGAUUUAUUGGGCGUAAAGCGAGCGCAGGCGGUUUCUUAAGUCUGAUGUGAAAGCCCCCGGCUCAACCGGGGAGGGUCAUUGGAAACUGGGAGACUUGAGUGCAGAAGAGGAGAGUGGAAUUCCAUGUGUAGCGGUGAAAUGCGUAGAUAUAUGGAGGAACACCAGUGGCGAAGGCGGCUCUCUGGUCUGUAACUGACGCUGAGGCUCGAAAGCGUGGGGAGCAAACAGG